GACGAACGCUGGCGGCGUGCUUAACACAUGCAAGUCGAACGGAAAGGCCCUGCUUUUGUGGGGUGCUCGAAUGGCGAACGGGUGAGUAACACGUGAGUACCUGCCCUUGACUUUGGGAUAACUUCAGGAAACUGGGGCUAAUACCGGAUAGGAGCUCCUGCUGCAUGGUGGGGGUUGGAAAGUUCCGGCGGUUGGGGAUGGACUCGCGGCUUAUCAGCUUGUUGGUGGGGUAGUGGCUUACCAAGGCUUUGACGGGUAGCCGGCCUGAGAGGGUGACCGGCCACAUUGGGACUGAGAUACGGCCCAGACUCCUACGGGAGGCAGCAGUGGGGAAUAUUGCACAAUGGGCGGAAGCCUGAUGCAGCAACGCCGCGUGCGGGAUGACGGCCUUCGGGUUGUAAACCGCUUUCGCCUGUGACGAAGCGUGAGUGACGGUAAUGGGUAAAGAAGCACCGGCUAACUACGCG
rnacentral:rRNA from 1 species